GUAACGCGUGAGGAACCUGCCUCAAAGAGGGGGACGAACAGUUAGAAAUGACUGCUAAUACCGCAUAAGCGCACAGUAUCGCAUGAUACAGUGUGAAAAACUCCGGUGGUACAAGAUGGACCCGCGUCUGAUUAGCUAGUUGGUAAGGUAACGGCUCACCAAGGCGACGAUCAGUAGCCGACCUGAGAGGGUGACCGGCCACAUUGGGACUGAGACACGGCCCAAACUCCUACGGGAGGCAGCAUG
rnacentral:rRNA from 1 species